rnacentral:rRNA from 1 species
GGGAACUGCAUUUCGAACUGGCAAACUAGAGUGUGAUAGAGGGUGGUAGAAUUUCAGGUGUAGCGGUGAAAUGCGUAGAGAUCUGAAGGAAUACCGAUGGCGAAGGCAGCCACCUGGGUCAACACUGACGCUCAUGUACGAAAGCGUGGGGAGCAAACGGGAUUAGAUACCCCGGUAGUCCACGCCGUAAACGAUGUCUACUAGAAGCUCGGAACCUCGGUUCUGUUUUUCAAAGCUAACGCAUUAAGUAGACCGCCUGGGGAGUACGGCCGCAAGGUUAAAACUCAAAUGAAUUGACGGGGGCCCGCACAAGCGGUGGAGCAUGUGGUUUAAUUCGAUGCAACGCGAAGAACCUUACCUACACUUGACAUACAGAGAACUUACCAGAGAUGG